GACAGAGGUGCCGAGCGUUAGGCGGAAUCACUGGGCUUAAAGCGUGUGUAGGCGGAUUUGUAAGUACCUUGUGAAAUCCCACGGCUCAACCGUGGAACUGCUCGGUAUACUGCUUAUCUUGAGCCACUUAGGGGCAGUCGGAACAGAUGGUGGAGCGGUGAAAUGCGUAGAUAUCAUCUGGAACGCCAAAGGUGAAAACAGACUGCUAGGGAGUGAUGCUGACGCUGAGACACGAAAGCUAGGGGGAGCGAACGGG
rnacentral:rRNA from 1 species